rnacentral:lncRNA from 1 species
AUGAAAGGUGCCCGGACUGAGGAGCUGUCGCAGAAAUUCAUCCAGACCUUUCUGACUCGCCCACAUUUAGACAUGGAGGGAGAUGAGAGAAAAAGUGGACAUGAGACCAGAUCUUGUGCUUUUUCUUCCUCCACAGAUAAACCAGCGGAUGAAAGCAUGUGCCAGUGUGAGAACAUGAUAAUGUUCCAGAACCAUGUCACAGAGAAGCUGAACAACCUGGUUCAGAAAAUCGAAGACAUGAAUAAGAAGCUGGAGACUCUGGAGAAUCAACAUUUGCAGACAUGAAGAGCUGGCAUUCUUCACACCCCCUUUAAUCUCCAUCAGUACGCUGUGCUGAAACAAACGCUGUUACAGUUUUAGAGCCCAGCCAACGGUACCGCUGGUCACAUGACUUCUCCUCCUACAGAUUUUGCCUUUAUGAACUAGCCAUGUACAUUUUUACAUUAUAAAUAAAAAUGGCGUGAAUUACAUGCAGUUGUGCAGAUUUCCAACCACUUUCAGCAGAAACAUGGAGACAGACGGAAUACUUUCCAUCUUUAGAUCUGGGAUGAAUGCAUCCUAAAAUAGUUAAAUCCCUCCAGACUAAGGAAGAUGAUUUGGGUUUCAUAUUUUCUAGUCCUGGCAUAUAUGUCGUUUUGGCUCAACAAUGAAGCCAAAUAACCCCAGUAAACAGUUGUGACAGACCCCUCCCACAGUAACCGUCAUAUCUGAUGACCAACGCUUCUUAAAGCCAAGUAUAAUAUUUUAUUCUUUUAAAAUGAAGCUUUAUUGUUAUUUUAUUAAUUAAUUUUUGUACUUCGAAUUUAUCAAUCUGACAAAUUUCCUGACACAAAAUGGUUUAUGAAGAAACUGAUCCAUGAAAACAGGUAGUUUCAGCGAACCUUCACAAAGGUGAGAGUAACCUUCAUCAAAUUCUCUUGUACAUUUUCUUCUUCUUCUUCUUCUCUAAACUUGAUUUUUCAUCCUGUUGUUUAUCCCUUGUGCUAUCUUAGAUUAACCCACCCUUACAUUGAAUAUUUUAGUGGCCUGACUGUAAACAUUAAUGUCUAUAAUGUUUUUAUGAAGGUUUAAUGUUAAACUAUCUUGUUUUUCUAAAAAAAAAAAAGUUUUUAGAAAAGCAAAAAUUGAUUUUGAGGAAAAAAAUCAAACUUUUCUGCCAUGAUAGACUUUAUAUUCUAUAAGUUGUAUUUGUAUUUUUAAAUAAAUAAAUGAGACAUUUGGCAGCUUUUUGUUCUUGUUCUUCUGACUUUUAAAUAAUCUGGUGCAUUUGCAAUACUAAAGAUGACCACAAGGUGGGGAUCAUUCAAGUCACGCCAAAGCAGGAGGCCUGCUGACUUCAUGAGGUGUUCACCUCCUCCUCCUGCAUAAGCAGUGGGACUAUGAGCAAACAGCCUGCAUUGCUGCGCUGCAUGCAGUGAGAGCAGCACACAGAGAGGGUAGUAUGGUGCCCUGAUGCUCUUAAGAACUUUCUGUCCAUGUUUGCACUGCCUAAUAGUCUUUGUUUCCAGAAGCAAGCACCACUGAGCUUCCAGUUUUUUUAAUUUAUUUUUAUCCUUUUGGUUUUUAAACAUGGGGUGCUCAUCCUCAAGUGCACAAACCGUUGAUCAGGAGAAAAGACCAGGCACCAAGCCUGAGGAGACCAAUGGAGACACUCUGGGUAAGUACCGUUCAGCUUGGUUGGAGUUUGUGACUGAAACACAAGACUGUUUUCAUGUGUGAAGGG